UACAGAGGUGGCAAGCGUUGUUCGGAAUUACUGGGCGUAAAGGGCGCGUAGGCGGCCAUCUAAGUCAGACGUGAAAUCCCUCAGCUUAACUGGGGAACUGCGUCUGAUACUGGGUGGCUUGAGUGCAGGAGAGGAACGCGGAAUUCCAGGUGUAGCGGUGAAAUGCGUAGAUAUCUGGAGGAACACCGGUGGCGAAGGCGGCGUUCUGGACUGUAACUGACACUGAUGAACGAAAGCCAGGGGAGCAAACGGG
rnacentral:rRNA from 1 species